UGUAGUGGAAUGCAAAAAUGGGGCUUCUUGACGUUGACGUCGUUAUCGAGAAAAUGCGAGAUCUUUGACGCCAUUUUUUCCUCAUUAUCUUUCCUUUCAUCUGGCAGUAAAACAGCGCUUAAUUAUAUAAUAAAUGACUUGUCAGCACAUUGGGUCCUGAUUCAUACAGAGUAAUAAACGGCAAAAAUAAUUUGCUACCGUUCAUCCUAUGACAGCAAGUAAAAUUAUCACGGGAAAAGAUUUUUACGAGGACAACUGAUUACGUCAUCUGACAUUGAUUGUUGAUAAAAUAUUGGUGAAUAGAUUUGAUGUUUUUCGGUGUUUUAAAGAAUAUUUUACACUGGCAACGUCUGCUUUGACAAAACUUAUAUAUAACUGGAUUAUUCUGGUUAGGCACUUCACCAUGCACUCUUGAUGUAAAGUACUCCAACCUUUGGGAUUAUGCCCAACAAGUGCACUUUUCCCAUCAUUCUCAACCGGUUGGUCCAAUAUGUUUUAGGACACCAAGAAUGUUCCAUGUGUUUGGUGUUUAGGUAGAGGGAUCAGGACUUCAUGGAAGUGUCAGUCUCAACAUGCUUGGUACUUUUAUAUCUGGAAAGUGAAAAACAAUGCAACAGGUUGCCUAAGUGUACUGUCCUGAAGUCAUCAAGAUAUGGGCACAAUAUCCUACAGCUUAAAGAUGAUCCAGAAAAUCCCUAUGAAGUCAUUUCUUAAGUUAAGCCCUCAAACUGUUAUCCAAAUACCACCAUUUUUGUGCAAGUGCAAUGGAGCCAAGUGUUAUAACAUGUAAAGAAUAUAUUAACUCUGUGGAGGUAAAAAUGUUUUUACUGAAACAAUUGCCUCCCAGAGGUCUUUUACCUGAAGUACAGUAAUGAUGCAGCAAGACAUUAGUAUCUAUUUGAACAAAUUGGGCAGUUCUUCAAAUCUGACAUAGCUAAAAUACUGUGUGGCCAAAAACCAGUUAUCCCGAUAACAGAAAUAAAGUUGGAUAUUGACAAUUAUGUGAAAAAGGUGGAAAGAGAAAGAGCAGUCUUUUACUCUUGAGUAUAAUUGGAGUUCCUAUAACAUAGUGGUCAUGUAUGGACUGUCAUUAUUUUCUUCAUUUCAAAUAUAGCUUAUGAUACAAGUAGAUGCUUCAUAAGAUAAGACUGCAAGUGUGUUGCAUAACUGUUGCUCUUAGGACUAAUGCUAUAUUAACAAGUGUGUGGAUCAUUGAUGCAUAGAUAUUAUUUAAUGGCUGCCUAUAUUAUUUUUGGAUGUCAGUUUACCAGUUACUAAUUUCCAUCAUUAAAUUAAGUUUAGUGUAAUACAACAUUUGUCAUUUUACUCUAAGUUAUAGAAUUCUAUUGAACCUAUGCAUGUUAUGAAUUGAUCAACUGUCAACUGAUCUUAAGCUUUAAUCUAGAUUGAAAAUGACUGUAUGAAAAUGUAAAGUAACAUUAAGCUUCAGUACUUGUUGUCAAAUUUUAAACAUUUUAUAGUUGUAGAAUAUGAAAUCUAUAUGAUCUAUAACAAUGAUAGGUCAGUUGAAUAUUUAUGUUGAUAUUAGUGUAGAAUCACAUUGUAAAUUAUCACCAAUCCUUAAAAUUGUUAAAAGAAGCAGCAAAAUCAAAGAAUAUUCAAUGGUAGCUAGGCAACCAAUAUUCCCUUCAGUUGGGAAGGAUUUUAAACAGGUGCAUCAGAAUGAAAAUACUUUAUAUGUUUGAUCACAUUGAAAAUAAUUGAAAAAUAAUCAUCACUAAGUUAUAAAAUAUUAAAAUAUAGAACCUUAAAUGUACCUGAAAAUAAAUGUUGUGAACAUGAUAUUAGAAGUAUCAUUUUUAAUUUAUAUUAUUAAGGAAUGGUGAGGCAGGCUGUUCUCUGAAUACCUUAUUAAGUUCAGUUACACAUUAUUUGUGGUAUUGUUUUCAUAUUUUUAUAAUAGCACAAAUUGCUAUUUUUAACUAAGUUGUAAUCUCCUGUAUGCCUGUAAAAAUUUGGAAAUUUAGAAAUUUAUAAAAAAAAUAAUUAUUAUUCAUUGGUUGCUAAGCAACCUAAUUAUAUGCAGAGACAGUUUUAAGUAAUGAACAUUUUUUGUAGGAAUUAUCUUUAUGUCAUUUUAAUUAAAUAUAAUGCUAGUUAAUUCAAAGUCC